GCAACACCAUUGAGGACGUAAGCAUGGGCAAAGACUUCAUGACUAAAACACCAAAAGAAAUGGCAACAAAAGCCAAAAUUGACAAAAGGUUUCCUUAAUGACAACAAAAAAGGGAGUAAUCCUACCCACUGUAAGAGUCAUGACUCUUGAUUGCAGCUGACAGAAACUCAUGACAGCCUGCUUUAGAUGAAGGGGGAGAGAAGGACUGGAAGAAUCUUGGAGUUGGGAAUGUCACACGUAAUUGAAGGAAGAACAAGAAAACUAUAAUUCUUCCCCUGGAGGCUGGAGUUUCCAGGAUGUCAAAAUUACCUCUGCUUGGGUGAGCUAUUUCAAGCAGCUGGGAUACCUGUGUCACUCCUGCUGUCUGCCAGUGACUGCCCAGGUGUCUGCUGGUUCCUCCCCAGGAGUAGGGAGGAACCAGGUGGGCUGGCUGGGAUGGGUGGAUAUUUAAAGACCAGGCCUUGGACGCUGCAGCACUUCUAUCUCUGCUUGAUGCCUGCUGCCACGUGGCUGGUCCUCCUCCUCCUGCUGUGGCUGAGCCUUGGGGUGAAGACAGGCAGCUGCUCCCAACCCCAGAACCUUUGCUGUCUUGGGACGGAUCACCGCUGCAAGAGGGGAAGUUGCUACUGUGAUGAAUUCUGCCAUGUGGCACCAGACUGCCACCCAGACCACAGUGUCCUCUGCAACCCUGGUCAAAGGUGCCUACAUGCUCCUUCUAGCUUUGUUUCCCUGAUGUUCCUUGCCACCUGCUACUCCUCUCUGAGCUACUUUUCCAGCUUCUCAGAUGACCAAGAUGGUGCUGCAGAUGGUGCUGAGGAUGGAGAACCCACCAAGCCCCG
ensembl:lncRNA MUC20-OT1 MUC20 overlapping transcript